GUGAUUUGACUCAGGCAUGUUUAAAGAGUAGCUCUUGUACCAGGGAAAUGAAGAUUUGAUCCUGCACUGCUCUUAAGGGCAGCAAAGGACCAUAAGCAAUUCUCCAAUGGUGAAGAUCGACCCCAGUCAUGUAAAAACACGAGGCAACACAUUUCACUUUUGCUUAAGAAGGAUCUUGCAGAAAGUGAAGAAGAGCAGGAAUAGAGAAGACAUUUGAAUGACGACUGAUGUUCUCUUCUUUGGCCUGAGGUUUUAGAACACAUUCACUGCCUGAUCACUGUGGCCCAGAAGCCAUGGCCUCUGCUGAGAGAUAGGGACCCCAUGUUCCCUCUACACAUCUUCUUCCCCAAAGCCUCUCUGAGGCUCCUAUGUUCAAAGAAACAGUCCUCUGGCAAUGGCCUGGUCCUUUCUGCCAUACCAAAGAAAGUUGUUUUUUGUUUUGAGCAAGAGAUCACUUCUGAUUUUCCUACCUUUGACAUGGACCAGACUAAUUGACAAAUUCUAGAAGGACAGACACUUCCAAACGUCUCUUGACAUACUGGCUUCACAAAGGUUAGGAAAGCUGUUAUGGGGAGGACGGAGCCUUUCUCCUCUUCCUGAGAACGUUUGAAGAAGAAAGGGGCUACUGAGAAGUCUGGUAGAUUCAGCAGCUAGUAAAUAUCGUGUCUAAAUGGGCAUCUUUUAUUAAACUCUGAGGCAGGGUUGGUGUGUUAGGCCAUUCUUUCUUGCUAUAAAGAAAUAUCUGAGACUGGGUAACUUAUAAAGAACAGAGGUUUAAUUGGCUCAUGGUUCUGCAGGCUGCACAGAAAGCAUAAUGACAUCUUCUUCUGGCUAGGCCUCUGGAAGCUUCCAAUGAUGGUGGAAGGCGAAGAGGGAACUUGCGCAUCACAUGGCAAAAGCAGGAGCAAGAGAGAGGCGAGGAGGUGCCGCACACUUUUAAAAGACCAGAUCUCAUGAAAACUCACUAUUGUGAGGACAGCACCAAGAGGAUCGUGCUAAAUUAUUCAAGAGAAAUCCUCCCCCAUGAUCCAGUCACCUCCCACCAGGCCCCACCUCCAACAUUGGGGAUUACAUUUCAACAUGAGAUUUGGAUGGAAACACAUUCAAGCUUUAUCAGGUCUAGAGGGCAGCGUCAGGGAAGCCAGAGAUUCCAAGCACAAGAAAGAUUUGAUGCAGCCUUGGUGACUUGGAGAUGGAAGGGGCCAUGAGGCAAGGAAUGUAGACAACUGUAAGUGUUGAAAGUGGACCUCAGCUGGCAGCCAGUAAGAAAAGAGGAACCUUCAGGCUACAACCUCAAGGGACAGAAUUCAGCCAACAUCCAGAGUAAGUUUAGAAAUGGACUUUUCCUCGGCGCCUCCAAAUAAGAGUCCAUUCUGACCUCUGCAUUGAUUUUAGGCUUAUAAGAUUAAGCAGGUGAUCCAGCCACACGGUUCUGGUCUUCUGAGCUCCCGGAGAAAUGCAUGUUGUUUGAAGCUGCUAAGUUUGUGGCAAUAUGUUACUCAGCAACAGAAAACUAAUAUACUUGGAAUAGAAUAUUCACUGUGAAUGAAGGAAGUUUUGAGCUCUAUAAAAAUGGAAAACUUUUAUCUUACUCUCACUUCCAACUAAUUUCCCAGAUGCAUUAUCACUUCAGAACAUUCUGCAGGGUAUUGGCGAUGAUUUUUCUUCUUUAUAGAGAUCCAGUAUUAAGUUAGAGAAUAAAUAGUGGUAAUAAUAAUAAUUAAUAAUAAUAUAGAUAACAUUUUGAGCGUGUUUAUCAUGUGCUAGCAUUUUGCUAAACACUUUAUCUGCAUUCUCUCAUAUAAUUCCCACAAUGGUCAUUUUAAGACAGAGAUUAUUACUAUUUUCAUUUUGUGUUUUCGGAAUUAGAGAAUUGCAGACAUGUAUAAAUCUUCAUAUAUAAACCUGUGAUAUUGUGGUAUAAUGGGAAAUAUAUAUUUUGUUUCUGCUCCUGGUUCCUGGCACAAAGCUACUAAAACCCUUGUAGUUUCCUGACUAAUAGGGGUGCUAGGUAUAUCUUUGGUUCUGAUAUUGGGUCUUUGAUUCCAGUUCCUGACAUGGUGCUCAUAAUCCCUUAGAAUUUUCUGGGUGAUACAUGUGUCUUUUUUUCUAAGGAAGUGACUCUUGAUGGGCUACUGGAUUGGAGCUUGUCACCAGAAAGACCAAGCCAUGAUUAGAAGCUUGGAACUUUCAGCCUCAGCCCCUAUCCUCCAGGAAGCAGAGAGGGGCUGGAGAUUGUUAAUAAUCAAUCUUGCCUAUGUGAUGAAGCUUCCAUAAAAAUCCCUGAAUUCUGGGGUUCAGAGAGAUGCAAGGUUGCUGAACAUGUGGAGAUGCUAGGAGGGUGGUGCCCUGGAAAGAGCAUGGAGGUUCAAGAGCCCCUUUCCCCAUACCUUGCCCUGUGUAUCUCACCCCCUCUGGCUGUUAAUCUGUAUCCUUAGUAAUAUUCUUUAUGAUAAAAUGGCAAGUGUAAAUAAAGUGUUUCCCUGAAUCCUAUGAGCCACUCCAGCUAAUUAAGCAAACCUGAGGGGGUUCUAGAAAACACCAAUUUAUAGCCCAUCAGUCAGAAGUUCUAGAGGCCCAUACUUGUGAUUAGCAUCUGGAGCGAGGGGCAGUCUUGCGGUGCUGAGUCCUCACCUUGUGAGAUCUGACUCCAACUCCAGGUAGGUAUUGUCAGAAUCGAGUUAAAUUGUAGGACACCCCAUUAGUGUCCACUGGAGAACUGCUUGCAGUGUAAGGGGAAAAUCCCACAAAUCUGGUGUCAACAGUCUUGUAAUGUUUUGUUGAGAAUAUAAUAGAAGAUGCUUAGUUCAUCUGUUUGUUUGUUUACUAUCAUACAGAACCAAAAUCCAGGUCUGUCUGAUCUUAAACCCAUUUGCCUGGUGGAAAGUUAUGGAUGGUGCUCAGAGUUCACUGUUCUCUUUCUGUUUCAUAUGCUCAGGUGUGUUGCUAAACAUGAGAUGCUGGGAAACUGAAAGGAAUACGUAAGAAAGAUGGCAACAAUUAAAAAAUGCAGAAUGAGGUUGAUCUAAAAUAAAAGUUGACAACCAAUGAAAUGGAG
rnacentral:lncRNA from 1 species